GUUCUGGCUGGACCCUGGCUAGGCUGUCUCUGUCUCUGCAAGGAUGGCUUUCUUCGUCUCUACAUGGAUGGGCACGCUUUGCAUGGAUGGCUGCUUGUGGGCUCAUGGAUUGGCUCCUCUUAAUUCUCUGGUUGUAUUGCAAAAUAGCAUCUGUAUGCUCUUGCAUUGAUUAAUUGCUUGGUGCACUCUGAUUGGCAAUUCUUUGUUUUUUGGACGUGUGGAAGGAAUGCACUUGCCUGCUCUUGCAUGUGGCUGUGAUUGCUUGGAGAUCCACUUGCUGGCUGCCAUUGUUGACUUUGGUUCUUGACUUUGGCUGUGCUUUGGACAUCUGUCUCCUUUAAAUGGCUUCCUUUGUCUCGGCUGGGAGUUUGCAUAUGGCUGUGAUUGCUUGAGAUCCACUCGCUGGCUGCCAUUGUUGAAUUCGGUGCUUAGCUUUGGCUGUGCCUUGGACAUCUGUCUCCUUCACACAUGGCUUUCUUUGUCUUGGCUGGGAUUUUGCUAUUCUUGGUUGCUGCUGUAACUGACUCCCCUUCAACGGCUUGCAGCCUGCUAUGAUGAUCAUCGGCUUGGUGAUCCUUCACUCCAGUUCUUAGUGGUUCUUGGCCUGGCUUGCAUUGGGCUGAAGUUUGGUGCUUGUUUCUGUUAUUACUUGUAUGAUCUCUUUAUGGUUAUCAGGCUAUAUGCUACUUUGUCCUGUUUUUUGCUUUGUGUUAGGUUAGGAACCUUCUAGUUUUUGGUUCCUCUCAUAACCAUUGUCUGUUUCAAUAAAUUUUUCCAUUUAGUGGUUGUUGUUUCGGUCUCUAAGGGAGCAUGUUCCCUUUCUGUUCAUCCUGUAUCUGAACUUGCUGGUUUUCCGGCAAUGUAUAUCUUUUGAUCUUUUAUACACUUACAUUUGAUAAAAAAAAAAUAAUAAUAAUCAACGAGACUGCCUCCACAGC
rnacentral:lncRNA from 1 species